rnacentral:lncRNA from 1 species
GUAAGGGUAUCGCACCCUAGCUAGUGGCUACUCGAGUAUAGUUCAUAUCCUGUUAUUAUCAUCUUUUGUAUAUGAUGAAUAAGGUUGUAUAAAUGUAUAAAUGAUGUAAAGAGCUUAUGUUUUGAGAAUGAUGAGCAUGUGAUGUAAAAAAUGAAAGAAAAGAAUGAUAUCUAAUAUGCUUGUAUUUGGUUGUAUGAAAUUAAAGUACAAAUGUAGAUGUAUAGAUAGUAGAACUUUCACUUUUGUUGUUGCUUGCCUUCGUGUAAGCCAUGUAUAUCCAUGUUUUCGCUUGCGCAAAUUAUAUACAUGUUGACAUUGUGUUGAGCCUUGGGCGAAAAGGUGAGGUGCUGUCCGUUCGGCGUCUGUUGACGUGCCCGAACCGACCAAAUCGGCGGUCCCAGGGCAUGACAGUGGUAAAA